CAAAAAUAAAAUUCGAGCAGGGAAAAUAGAAAGAAAAAAAAUUCGUGCACCAGAAAUGUCUGAAAAAAAAAUUCGUGCAGAGACUUUUCAUUAGGGAAAAUUACAGGACCUAUCGGAGGUAUAGUGUAAGGGUGUUCCCUGAAAUUUCGAAAAUAAGCUUUUUCAUCGUGUUUUAAGAAGUUUUUUCGGGGAAAAUGUGUUUUAAACCUAAUUGAAUUGAUCUUAGUCCGAAAAAUAUUUUGACCCUAUUUCUCUUUGUCCUGCAAAAAUGUUUGAGUCCGGAAAAAUAUUUUCACC